UACGUAGGGGGCAAGCGUUGUCCGGAUUUAUUGGGCGUAAAGAGCGUGUAGGCGGCCUGGUAGGUCAGCUGUGAAAACUCGAGGCUCAACCUCGAGACGCCGGUUGAAACCAUCAGGCUAGAGUCCGGAAGAGGAGAGUGGAAUUCCCGGUGUAGCGGUGAAAUGCGCAGAUAUCAGGAAGAACACCCGUGGCUAAGGCGGCUCUCUAGUACGGUACUGACGCUGAGACGCGAAAGCGUGGGGAGCGAACAGG
rnacentral:rRNA from 1 species